CUCACAUUAAGGGAACCACAUAAAAAUUCUUGUGUUGUUGUUGAUUUAAUUUUUUCGCAUUAUUUUUUAUUUCCAUCGAUUUAUUUACUUGUGGGAAAUCAUCUGUUUUCCCUAACACACCCUGAGGACCCUACUAAUCAAUCUACCUUUGAGAGAUGGUACAUUUGCCUUGGAGCUUGCCAGAGGGCUUUGUAACAGGGUGUAGGCCACUGAUUGGUCUAGAUGGAUGCCAUUUGAAAAGUGAACAAACUGGACAGUUAUUAUGUGCAAUAGGAAUUGAUGCCAAUAACCAAAUGUUCCCAGUAGCAUAUGUAGUGGUGGAGGGUGAAACAAAGAGCUCUUAGUUGUGGUUCAUUCACUUGCUCAUAGAAGACAUUGGCAUAGAGAAUCAACAUGGAUGGACAUUUAUUACAGACAAACAAAAGGGCCAUAACUAUAGGAGCUGCAAGAAUCCACCAAACAAGGAGUACCAACAAAAAAAUAAACCAAGAUGGAAGAGCUUAGGCUAUAAAAGGAAAAGGGCUGGAUCAACACCAUCCCAAGCAUCAACACCAAUGGCAACACGAAGUGCAACCCAAACACCAAUACCAAUGGUAACACCAAAUCCAGCUUCAGCCAUUCCAAGGGCAACUUCAGCAAUUCCAAGGGCACCAAAUCCAUCUGCAUCAAGGGCAAGUUCACAAACACAAAGCGAAACUUCAGCAACAAAGGCAACUUCAACAUCAAGGGCAACAAUAGCAGUAGGAACAAGGACAACAGUAACAGCAACAGCAACAGCAACAAGAACAAGAAGUGCAACAACAAUAACAAAGUCAGCAUCGUUACAAACAUCUGAAGCAUAAAGAGGAGCAAUAUCAACACCAACAACAGCCUCAUUACCUGGAGAGGGAGGAAUGUUAUGACCUUGUCCUCACUUCAUAAUGCAUCUGCCUCUAAGGUGAAGAACCCAAAGUAGGGGUGUUGUUUGUUUUGAUUAUCGAACUAUUUUGACAAUGUGGCAUGUUUUGUGUAUGUAGUCAUGGAUACUGCCAGCAUGUUUGCAUCAUGAAUAUGUGGCCAUUUUGACUUGGUGGAUACCAACAAUAUAUUUUAUGAAAUGAAUUAUGGCCAUCUGCGUGUUCA